UACGGAGGGGGCUAGCGUUGUUCGGAAUUACUGGGCGUAAAGCGCACGUAGGCGGCUUUGUAAGUUAGAGGUGAAAGCCCGGAGCUCAACUCCGGAACUGCCUUUAAGACUGCAUCGCUUGAACGUCGGAGAGGUAAGUGGAACUCCGAGUGUAGAGGUGAAAUUCGUAGAUAUUCGGAAGAACACCAGUGGCGAAGGCGACUUACUGGACGACUGUUGACGCUGAGGUGCGAAAGCGUGGGGAGCAAACAGG
rnacentral:rRNA from 1 species